AAAACGACUCUCGGCAACGGAUAUCUCGGCUCUCGCAUCGAUGAAGAACGUAGCAAACUGCGAUACUUGGUGUGAAUUGCAGAAUCCCGUGAACCAUCGAGUCUUUGAACGCAAGUUGCGCCCAAAGCCGUUAGGCCGAGGGCACGUCUGCCUGGGCGUCACGC
rnacentral:rRNA from 1 species